rnacentral:rRNA from 1 species
AUUGAACGCUGGCGGCAGGCCUAACACAUGCAAGUCGAGCGGACGAACGGAGAUUGCUCUUGGAUUCAGCUGCCGACGGGCGGGUAAUUCCUAGGUAUCUGCCUGGUAGUUGGGGAUAACGUCAGGAAACGGGCGCUAAUACCGUACACGUCCUGAGGGUGAAAGGGGGGGAUCUUCGGACCUCACGCUAUUAGAUGAGACUAGGUCGGAUUAGCUAGUUGGUGGGGUAAAGGCCUACCAAGGCGACGAUCCGUAGCUGGUCUGAGAGGAUGAUCAGUCACACUGGAACUGAGACACGGUCCAGACUCCUACGGGAGGCAGCAGUGGGGAAUAUUGGACAAUGGGCGAAAGCCUGAUCCAGCCAUGCCGCGUGUGUGAAGAAGGUCUUCGGAUUGUAAAGCUCUGUUAUUUGGGAAGAAGAGCAGUAAGUUAAUACCUUGCUGUUUUGACGUUACCAACAGAAUAAGCACCGGCUAACUUCGUG